GACGAACGCUGGCGGCGUGCUUAACACAUGCAAGUCGAACGGAAAGGCCCUUCGGGGUACUCGAGUGGCGAACGGGUGAGUAACACGUGGGUGAUCUGCCCUGCACUUUGGGAUAAGCCUGGGAAACUGGGUCUAAUACCGAAUAGGACCACGCGCUUCAUGGUGUGUGGUGGAAAGCUUUUGCGGUGUGGGAUGGGCCCGCGGCCUAUCAGCUUGUUGGUGGGGUAAUGGCCUACCAAGGCGACGACGGGUAGCCGGCCUGAGAGGGUGACCGGCCACACUGGGACUGAGAUACGGCCCAGACUCCUACGGGAGGCAGCAGUGGGGAAUAUUGCACAAUGGGCGCAAGCCUGAUGCAGCGACGCCGCGUGAGGGAUGACGGCCUUCGGGUUGUAAACCUCUUUCAACAGGGACGAAGCGCAAGUGACGGUACCUAUAGAAGAAGCACCGGCCAACUACGUG
rnacentral:rRNA from 1 species